rnacentral:tRNA from 1 species
GCCCCCGUAGUUAAAUGGAUAUAACGGGGUCCUCCUAAGACUCAGUUACAGGUUCGAUUCCUGUCGGGGGUGCCA